UACAGAGGUCUCAAGCGUUGUUCGGAUUCACUGGGCGUAAAGGGUGUGUAGGUGGCGCCGUAAGUCGGGUGUGAAAUUUCGGAGCUUAACUCCGAAACUGCAUUCGAUACUGCGGUGCUUGAGGACUGGAGAGGAGACUGGAAUUCAUGGUGUAGCAGUGAAAUGCGUAGAGAUCAUGAGGAAGACCAGUGGCGAAGGCGGGUCUCUGGACAGUUCCUGACACUGAGACACGAAGGCCAGGGGAGCAAACGGG
rnacentral:rRNA from 1 species